UUUAGUUUGUUUCCGCUUUUCUCGUUCAGUUUGUUGAGCCAUUUUACUCUGUUAUAUAACAGAGCAGCCUUGUAUUUUCUGAUCUAUUAAUAAAGAGAAUUCUUUUCAUCUUUUCUCUCAAUUCUUCUUUCUUCAGAUUUCUUUUUCUAACAUGGUAUCAGAGCUAUCCAUUUAGGGUUUCAAAUCCCUAAUUUCUAUUUUUUUUUUCUUCUCUUUCUAUGUUCUUUGUUCUCAAUCGUGUUCAUGGCGAAAGGUGGAUCUGGUAAUGGUAAUCGCGG
rnacentral:lncRNA from 1 species